AGAGUGGUAAAUGGCUAGCCAAUCCCCUCUGUGUCUGAAAUACUUAAAAUUUGCAAAUCUAUUAGUUACAGUAACAAUGUAUUUUAAUUAUUUUCCUUCUGUGACUAUUAGGUAUUUUGUAAUAAGUGUUACUGUUAAUGUGCUGUUACUUUAAAUGUUGUUGUGUUUAACCAGUAGAGGGCAGUGUCGCGGACGUCAUCGCUGGACAUUUUAUUUUGAAAAGACGCAAAGCAGUCGUUUUCCUGUUCGUCUUCCUGUUUUGAUGUCUGCUCCGCGGUUGUUUCUUCUGCAUGAUAAACAAAAUAUCCACGAAGUUUUAAGAGGACGGAAAUGUGCGUCGUGGUAGUGAGAAAGCCAUAAGAGACGCGUAUCUUGUGAGAAAACGGCGCCAUUUCCAGCGUUCCUGGGUGUAAAACAGCUGAAAACUGUGAGUUUUGUUUAAUUAUUUAUUUGUAUUUUUUUCCAAUGACUUGUAAGUAAUU